GGACGUGGCAAUGGAAUUUCUAGUUUUUCUAUUCAUCUUAGUAUUUACUCUCCGAAUGUUGUGAAUUUGACCCUGAUGGAUCUUCCUGGAUUGACGAAAGUUGCCAUUGAUGGUCAAUCUGAUAGCAUCG